CAAUAGCGCAUAUUUAAGUUGUUGCAGUUAAAAAGCUCGUAGUCGGAUUUUGGCUGAGAACGAUCGGUCCGCCGUUAGGUGUGCACUGAUUGGUCUCAGCUUCCUGGUGAGGAGGUGUGCUUCACGGCCACUUAGUCACCGUGGUUACUUUGAAAAAAUUAGAGUGUUCAAAGCGGGCUUACGCUUGAAUAUAUUAGCAUGGAAUAACACCAUAGGACUCCUGUCCUAUUUCGUUGGUCACGGGACGGGAGUAAUGAUUAAGAGGAACAGUUGGGGGCAUUCGUAUUUCAUUGUCAGAGGUGAAAUUCUUGGAUUUAUGAAAGACGAACUUCUGCGAAAGCAUUUGCCAAGGAUGUUUUCAUUGA
rnacentral:rRNA from 1 species